ACAGAGAGGAUGUCUGCAGUUGCCUAUGAAUUCCCCAAGGACUAGGAUGUCAACAAGUUUUACUUGAUUGAAAAUGAUUCUGUCACAACCUCAAGUGCAGUAAGAGAGGAAAUAAAGGAAAUGGCCAUGAAUAUAUUUGAAUUUGGGAAGCUACACAAGCCACGUUAUUCUCAUUGUGAUGACAGAAGGGCAAGAGAGCAAGUAUAUGUCAAGCUUAUGCUGAAAUCACAUCCACUAACAUCUCAUUGACCAAAUCAUGUCAUAUAACCAAGCCCAACAUCAAUGGGAUAUGGAAGCAUUCUCUGUCCACAGUAGGAGAGAAAGAUUAUAUUUACUAAAAGAUAUAACUGGAAAAUGCCUCCAAACAGAUGCUAGUCUUUACAUCAGUGGCUCUCAGAUAGAUUGUUUCUUGAUGUCCUACAACCCAUGAUUAAAGAACUUCUGGCUUCCUUCUUAGUAAUCUACAUAUUUGCUUCAAGCCUUCAACUUUUUGAAACCCCAGAGGAUCAUUUCAUGGUAAAAGUAACAUCAAUUUUGACAACCGCCCACAGACAAGAACACCUUUGUGGGAGUAUAGAAAUGCAGCAGAGAAGUUCCAGCAAACCAUUGGAGAAAAAAAAGUUUAAAAAUACAGACAUCGAAGAAGCUGUGCUCUCCCUAGAGGGUUUCCCACCCCAGCCCAGGAAGGGGAAGCUGCCACUGAGUGUUGGAAAAAGCUGGGCCAUUCCCAUGGGGAAGCCACUCAUCUUUGUGUUUCAGUCCUGAGUGGGCAGAGCUGGACCUUGGAGGGAAUAGCAUGGAUGCUGGUGCCUGGUACUGGGCUUGUGUCACGGGAUGU